UACGUAGGGGGCAAGCGUUGUCCCGGAAUUAUUGGGCGUAAAGAGCGUGUAGGCGGCCAGAUAAGUCCGCUGUGAAAUCUCGAGGCUCAACUUCGAGCUGUCGGUGGAAACUAUCUGGCUAGAGUCCGGAAGAGGAGAAUGGAAUUCCUGGUGUAGCGGUGAAAUGCGCAGAUAUCAGGAAGAACACCCGUGGCGAAGGCGGUCUCUGGGACGGUACCUGACGCCUGAGACGCGAAGCGUGGGGAGCGAACAGG
rnacentral:rRNA from 1 species